rnacentral:rRNA from 1 species
AUGGCAACGCGAGCGGUCCACCACUCGCGACGUCAUGAGAAGUCCACUGAACCUUAUUAUUUAGAGGAAGGAGAAGUCGUAACAAGGUUUUCGUAGGUGAAUCUGCAGAAGGAUCAUUG